AUCGUUUUGCAGUUCGUAAGCACAAUGAUUGCGUGUUCAGUUAUGUGAUGUCCGCCUCUCUCAAACCUUGUUUUGACCUCUGCCCAUUUUACCGUUGGGUC
rfam:Canis lupus familiaris chromosome 37, whole genome shotgun sequence.